UGAGGAAUAUUGGGCAAUGCCCGCAAGGGUGACCCAGCAACGCCGCGUGGAGGAUGAAUGUCGUAAGAUUGUAAACUCCUGUUAGAGGGGAAGAAUAGUACCGGUUGGACCGGUAUAUGACUGUACCCUCAGAGAAAGCCCCGGCUAACUACGUGCCAGCAGCCGCGGUAAUGCGUAGGGGGCAAGCGUUGUCCGGAUUUACUGGGUGUAAAGGGCGCGCAGGCGGGAUAAAAAGUCAGUGGUGAAAUCCUACAGCUUAACUGUAGAACUGCCUUUGAUACUUUUAUUCUUGAGUUCGGGAGAGAGAGACGGAAUUCCAGGUGUAGUGGUGAAAUACGUAGAUAUCUGGAAGAACACCAGUUGCGAAGGCGGUCUCUUGGUCCGACACUGACGCUGAGGCGCGAAAGCGUGGGGAGCAAACA
rnacentral:rRNA from 1 species